GGCAUUUAUACAAAAAUAAAAUAAACACCAAGCUUUAAAGGAACACUAUAGUCCCCUAAACAACUAGUUUGAUGCAGCAGUUUUAGUGUAUAUAGAUCAUGCUUAUCAUGUUUCACUGCUUAAUUCUCUGCCUUUUAGGAGUUAAAUCACUUUGUUUCUGUUUAUACAGCCCUUAGCCACACCUCCUUGACUCUGACACAGCCUGCAUGAAAAUAAAAACUGGUUUCACUUUCAAUCUUGUAUCUUACCUUAAACCAUUUUAUCGCUUGCUCUGUAAAUUAAACUUUAAUCACAUACCAGAGGCUCUCGCAG